AUUUAUAUAGUAUAAAUUAUUAUAUUUGACUUCCAAUCAAAAGAUCUAUAUUAUAGUAUAAAUA
rnacentral:tRNA from 1 species